rnacentral:rRNA from 1 species
GACGAAACGCUGGCGGCGUGCCUAAUACAUGCAAGUCGAGCGAGCUUGCCUAGAUGAUUUUAGUUGCUUGCACUAAAUAGAAACUAAGAUACAAGCGAGCGGCGGACGGGUGAGUAACACGUGGGUAACCUGCCCGAGAGACUGGGAUAACACCUGGAAACAGAUGCUAAUACCGGAUAACAACACUAGACGCAUGUCUAGAGUUUGAAAGAUGGUUCUGCUAUCACUCUUGGAUGGACCUGCGGUGCAUUAGCUAGUUGGUAAGGUAACGGCUUACCAAGGCAAUGAUGCAUAGCCGAGUUGAGAGACCGAUCGGCCACAUUGGGACUGAGACACGGCCCAAACUCCUACGGGAGGCAGCAGUAGGGAAUCUUUCC